UACGUAGGGUGCAAGCGUUAAUCGGAAUUACUGGGCGUAAAGCGUGCGCAGGCGGUUUUGUAAGUCAGAUGUGAAAUCCCCGGGCUCAACCUGGGAACUGCGUUUGAAACUGCAAGGCUAGAGUAUGGGAGAGGGAGGUAGAAUUCCACGUGUAGCAGUGAAAUGCGUAGAGAUGUGGAGGAAUACCAAUGGCGAAGGCAGCCUCCUGGCCUAAUACUGACGCUCAUGCACGAAAGCGUGGGGAGCAAACAGG
rnacentral:rRNA from 1 species